rnacentral:lncRNA from 1 species
GCAGCCAGCAGGAACGCCUCCCUUGCUUCUGCGCCUCCCUUGAUGGGGAGGAGCCACCAAGGCUACCCGCUGCUGGCCUCCUGAGUGACAAAACCAGCAGCCAUAUUAGAGUGAAGAGGCCUGGUUGUGGAGGGCUGUGUGCUCAGAGUGGAAUUAUAGCAGUUCAUUUUCUAAAGUGCCACGAGACCUGGGGAUGAACCUUCCGAGAGAAGGGAAAACCACAACAGCAGUCCCCUCGUAGAGAUGCAAUUCAUCAUGGGCAUGACGGCUGGGUCUGUCAACAGGAAGGGCUCUUUUCCCUGUGACGCACGAAAGCAAUCCCAUGGGCUCUGUGUUGCAGCAAGAGGACCCUGAACUCCCUCAGACACCCUGACUGUGUGCAGGGAGCCUCCGAAAUCCAGAGACAGGAGGCAUGCAUCGCCAUGUGGGCACCGAGCGGAAGCAUAACUGGGACUCCAGUUCCUAUGCCCCCACCAUAUUUCCUCGCUCUAAUUAAGCGUGGGGAUAGUGUGUGGUGAGGGUAGUUUGCAGUGGGAGUGAGACCCAUUUAUUUUGUUUCUUGUUAUUUUAUCAUUGAGAUGUAACUUAGAAUUAGUCUCAGGAAUAAGAGGGACACUUUUGCUUCCUGGUAAACAGAGGCUAGCAGUCUGCUAAUAACCUGGUUAAGAGACCAGACAAGGUAGCAGCUGCCAUCCUGAACACCACUGCAUCAGCUCAGCCACCUCCCAGGAGUGAGUCCAGCCAGGAGUGAGUCCAGCCAGGAGUGAGUCCAGCCAGGAGUGAGACCUUGUGACUCCACAGAGCCCACAAUACUCCACAAUGGAGCAGGCAGCACCAGCCGGAACUCACCCCUGCUGCCAUUCCUCCUCCAACCAGCAAGCCUCUAGCGACAUCUCUGAACAUGGUCUCUCCCUGCUCACACUCAGCUAUGCAGAGCGGGAAAAGCGUUUCCUGUCCAAAACAAGCACUGGGGAUUCUGAGGAACCUCUGAGGAGCACCCUGCCUUUACUUGCAGUUCUUCCAGAGAGAUGUUGGAGCUGACAACUGGAGACAAUAUGGCUUGGUGACAACAUCAUAAAAGGAAUCUAAAGAAGUUGGAAUGGAAAGCAAAAGAACAUUGCCAUAUUUUUACCAGGUGGCCCCACCACACGCUACACAGACCAAGAGAGUGAACAUGUCCUUGUUCUUAAAGAGCUCACAAAUGAAUAUCUUUUUUUUUCCCUGAGACUGAGUCUUGCUCUGUCACCCAGGCUAGAGUGCAGUGGCGCGAUCUUGGCUCACUGCAAUCUCCACCUCCCGGGUUCAAGCAGUUCUCCUGCCUUGGCCUCCUAAGUAGCUGGGAUGACAGGCGCGAGCCACCAUGCCUGGCUAUUUUUUUUUUUUGUAUUUUUAGUAGAGACGGGAUUUCACCAUCUUGGCCUGGCUGGUCUUGAACUCCUGACCUCGUGAUCUCCCCACCGCAACCUCCCAAGGUGCUGGGAUUAUAGGCGUGAGCCGCCGUGCCUGGCCUGAAUAUUCUUAAAAAAGGAGUGAAACAGAAAUAGUGUGUUCCUGUAUUUCAGAAUGACAAAGGAAACCAGGAACACUUGCAGGUUAAUAAGUCCAUCCCCCUGUCUCAGAGCAGAG